CACACCCCAUCAAAAAAGAUCGGUGGCGACUCAUCUAUUCAUUUUCAUUUUCAAAAUCCAAGUGUCGAUCGUCGUUUUUCAAUUUCGACAUUCAACAAAAGGGUUUUCAUGAUAAAUGUGAAAUCUAAUACUCCAUUGACUAAAAGGGUACAUCCUAACACUCCUUUUGCCAUAUACAAUCCCUGCAUGUAAACUUCAAAUCCUUAUAUAUAAUCCGCUGCAUAAUAAAUUUAGAAGAGAAUGUUUACUUAAAAAUUUAUCGAAAACGAAUUAGAAUAAUAAAUUUUAAAUUUACUGAAUUUAAAAAACUAUAUAUUUAUAUAUAUAAAGCAGAGAGAAAACAUUAGUAUAAUCGAAAUAGUGUAUCACCCGGUAUAAUACAAAAAAGAAAAAGAAAGAAAGAAAGCGAGAGAAAUAACAGUAACGAUAUAUGAAGCAGCGUAGAACAUAUUAAAUUACAAAAAGAGAAGAUGAAAUUACCAGAGAGCGAAUGAAAAAGAGACGCAAAGAAUCGGAGAUAUUUGGAGACUGAUAGCAAGAAAAGAGGCGAAAGGAAUUUUUAAAGAGGCGAG
rnacentral:lncRNA from 1 species